rnacentral:rRNA from 1 species
ACGGGUGAGUAACACGUGGGUGAUCUGCCCUGCACUUCGGGAUAAGCCUUGGAAACUGGGUCUAAUACCGGAUAUGACCUUCGGCUGCAUGGCUGAGGGUGGAAAGGUUUACUGGUGCAGGAUGGGCCCGCGGCCUAUCAGCUUGUUGGUGGGGUAAUGGCCUACCAAGGCGACGACGGGUAGCCGACCUGAGAGGGUGACCGGCCACACUGGGACUGAGACACGGCCCAGACUCCUACGGGAGGCAGCAGUUGGGAAUAUUGCACAAUGGGCGAAAGCCUGAUGCAGCGACGCCGCGUGAGGGAUGACGGCCUUCGGGUUGUAAACCUCUUUCAGCAGGGACGAAGCGAAAGUGACGGUACCUGCAGAAGAAGCACCGGCUAACUACGUGCCAGCAGCCGCGGUAAUACGUAGGGUGCAAGCGUUGUCCGGAAUUACUGGGCGUAAAGAGUUCGUAGGCGGUUUGUCGCGUCGUUUGUGAAAACUCACAGCUCAACUGUGAGCCUGCAGGCGAUACGGGCAGACUUGAGUACUGCAGGGGAGACUGGAAUUCCUGGUGUAGCGGUGAAAUGCGCAGA